UACGUAGGGUGCGAGCGUUAAUCGGAAUUACUGGGCGUAAAGCGUGCGCAGGCGGUAAUGCAAGACAGAUGUGAAAUCCCCGGGCUUAACCUGGGAACUGCAUUUGUGACUGCAUUGCUGGAGUGGCGGCAGGGGGGGAUGGAAUUCCGCGUGUAGCAGUGAAAUGCGUAGAUAUGCGGAGGAACACCGAUGGCGAAGGCAAUCCCCUGGGCCUGCACUGACGCUCAUGCACGAAAGCGUGGGGAGCAAACAG
rnacentral:rRNA from 1 species